GUCAAACUUGGUCAUUUAGAGGAAGUAAAAGUCGUAACAAGGUUUCCGUAGGUGAACCUGCGGAAGGAUCAUUAUCGUACAAAAUGUGAGAGGGGCAUGCGAGGGCUGUCGCUGACUCAAAGUCGUGCACGCCCGAGUGUGUCGCCUCACAUAAUAAUCCAUCUCACCCUUUGUGCAUCACCGCGUGGGCACCCCUUUGGGAUCAUCUCGGAGGGGGCUCGCGUUUUCACACAAAACCCCCCUUUUAAAAGUGUAGAAUGACCUCAUUUAUGCGCUAACCCGCAAUCAAUACAACUUUCAACAACGGAUCUCUUGGCUCUCGCAUCGAUGAAGAACGCAGCGAAAUGCGAUACGUAAUGUGAAUUGCAGAAUUCAGUGAAUCAUCGAAUCUUUGAACGCACCUUGCGCCCCCUGGUAUUCCGAGGGGCACACCCGUUUGAGUGUCGUGAAAACCUCAACCUCCUUGGUUUCUUCUGGAGACCAAAGCAGGCUUGGACUUUGGAGGCCUUUGCUGGCACCUCUCGCCAGCUCCUCUUAAAUGAAUUAGCAGGGUCCUCUUUGCUGAUCCUCGACGUGUGAUAAGAUGUUUCCAUGUCUUGGUUUCUGGCUCUGUCACCUUUGGGACCCGCUUCUAACCGUCUUCAACCUUGCGUUGAGACAACGUUCGAGCAUGUCUCCCUUCUCGGGAAGCUCCCUCGACCCCACGAACCCUUGACCUCAAAUCGGGUGAGACUACCCGCUGAACUUAAGCAUAUCAAUA
rnacentral:rRNA from 1 species